UGAACAAAGCUUCCUGGUUGGCCAAAGUUGCUGCCGAUAGUGAUACAUGGCUAUCCUAUGUUACCUUCUUUUUUUGUGGCUGUAAUUGCUAUGAUAACGAGAUGAGGGAAUGGCUUUUCAACAAGAUGAAUGAGCUGCCAACAAUAUAUGAAGUGGUUAUUGGUGCUACUGAACAGGCCAAGAAGCGAGUAAAGGAUAAAUCAACAGUUUCAUGUCAUAGCAGCAAGAAGUCAAAGUUAAAUUCUGAAGUGGUACAGUUGAAAACCUCUCCUGUCCCCAUCCUUCUUUCAUAAAAGAUGUUUUUUCUUGGAUAACAGUAGUUGUGCGGUACUCUUUAAAGGAUUCCCUUGGACAGUGUUUAAUUGAAAACCUUCAGCUCUAGGACAUGGUCAAUGGAUCACAAAAUGGAUGCUCUCUGAUUUGAGCCAUGGUUCAGUUUUCAAUCAUCCACACUCAUUAUAAAUGUGUAUGAUGACUCUCGAGAGCAUAUAUAGUAAUAUUCCAUGACUAGCUUGCUAAUGUCAUAUCAGUCCAAUAACAAUUGAGAGGUAGAAAGCAGGAAACUGAAGCGUUUGUAUAAUGUUCUCCUACAGGGGAAAGCUAAUGUUUCUGUCAUGUUAUAGUAUACAGGAGUUAAAGGGACCUCCUAAGUUGAUAUGUUGUUGAUUUGUAUUUUCUUAUAUGAUGAUUGUUUACCUUUGGUAUUCCUAGAAACAGAAUCAGUUUGGGUCUAUACAUUUCUGGGCAAGGCAGGUAGUGGUUACCUGCUUCUAGUUUGAGGAAGGCUUAUUAGUCGGUUAAAUUGAUUUGAACUAAAGUAAUUUACAGUUGUGUUGAAUGCUUAAGUUUGAUAGAAGAGGCUUUCGGGUGCCUAAGGACUAGGCUAAAGUCAAUGCUGGCAUUUUCCCAAAGAGCAAUGAAUGUCUAGCAGCAGACUGGUCAAGGACUUGAAGAAGCAACGAGAACUCCCAAUGCAAAGUGAUCAAAGGCUCUUGGAAUUCAAACAAGAGCACAAACUGGAAAAUCUCCAGUCAAUAAAACAUCUUAGAUUUCUAUGAUUAAUUUGUUUUUGCUAAGAUUUGGGUAUGUAACAAACAAUGUAGCAAUGUAGCUUAAUGUCCUUUUAUCUUGCCGAUGACAAUCGGUGCUAUUGUCCAGAUUUGUUAGAACUAUCGUGAUGUCUAAUUGGUGUUUUUAUUAACCAAAUGGAAUUUAUGU